GCUGGGAAUAGAGCUCAAUGGUAGAGCACUUGCUUAGCAUGUGCAAGGCCCUGGGUUCAAUCCCCAGCACUGCA
rnacentral:tRNA from 1 species